rnacentral:lncRNA from 1 species
AACCGGCAAAUCAUCCCACAAAGAAGCUGCCCAGACCCCAGGGCGCAGGAAGGGCUCUGGAAACACUGUGAUGUUUCCAGAACUGCCUUACAUACAUUGCCUUUCAUUCUCACAACACCCUAAUGAGAGGGGUGGUAUUAUUGCCCUGGCUUAUAGCUAAAAGUACUGACAUUUAAAGAGGUGAAAUCACUUGCCUAAGGUCACAGAGCUAUAAAUGUACUUGACCCCAUGUUUGCCUAACCACCAACCAGUGCUUUGUCAACCAGGUCUCAAAGUUUAGAUGUAAUUCAGAUUACAUUCCGCAUACACACCCUCUCCUCUCACCUCCUCACAGCACACGCAACACGCAGACCUGCCCGACCUUUACCUUCUCCAAGUAUUAAGAGAAUCUCACUUGAUCCUCAAUGGCUCUGACUUUGGUAGAACCUGGUAGAACUUUUCAAACUCACUUUUGGUCUGUGAAGUAAACUACCUCCACCCUCUGACUCCAUAAUCAAUAUGUUCUCCAAUCAUUACAACAUAAUCAAAAGACAAAGAUGUCAGCCCUGGAGAUUCAUGACCAGCUGGCCACAUUCAAGCUGAGUGGAAGGUCAACCAGUCCAACUUCUCAUGUUUCAGAAGAGGAAAGCAAGGUCUGGAGAGGGAACAUGGCUUGCCCAAGGUCAGAGGUAGAGGGAGAUUAAAACUCUGGGUUUUGACUCUCAAUUCCUUGUUCGGUCCUUGACACCUUAAAACUUAAAGUCAAAGAGCUGCCUUAUCCAUUACAGAUAUGUUUCAAACUUUGAUGAAAAGCAGGGAAGUUUGGGAAGAAAAUCCAAGACUUCUCUGGAGAGAGACCAGGAAACAGGCUCAGAGAGAAGAAGGGAAUUAUGUACCUCGGUUUAGAGCCAAAGUGUCCUGCCUGCAUUCCAGCUGUUUCCAUCCAUGUCCCUGUCAACUGGCAUCUGGAACUACUCGUAGCAGCAUCCACUCAAUAUACCAGCCUGGAAGACAACGGAGCUGUCAUUCUGUUAAAAAAUUAAGAGAAGUACGCAGAACCUGCCUUUUUCUAAAUGAGAAGCUUUGGAAGCAACUGGACACUUUUGGCCAUUGCAGUCCACAGAAGGUUACCUGGAGACUUUGGCAAGAGCCACAGCAGUUCCUAAAAGGAAAAGAAACCUCAAAGGAGAAUGUUAAUCUCCCCGAUCAGCUCCAGCUCUCCCUGGAAACAUCCUUUUCUAUGUAACAGCCUAAAUCAUCCCAAAGAGAACAUUCUCCAACAUUAGCGUACCUAACAAUCAACACGGAGAUUUCCAGGACCUGUUCCAGAAACACGGAUUCAGUAGGUUUAGGGUGGAAGUUUGGAAUCUGCCUUUUAACCAACUCCCUGCUAUGGACUGAAUUGUUUCACCCCAAAAU